UUCAUGUAUGAGAACUAAUCAAAUGAAAUAUAGGGAGAGUCCUUAGGGUCACCAUACCCACUCCUGUUUGAUGAAUUAGAAAUAGAUGAGAUCCCCACCACUCAACCAUAUAUAUUCAUGUAUUGGACAAUAUAACAUAUCAAAUGAAAUAUAGCGGAAGUCACUGGGGUCCCCCAACUCCUCCUGUUUGAAAACUUGAUAACGGUCGAGAUCCCCAC
rnacentral:lncRNA from 1 species